CGGGCCUUUGACUUUGCUCAUGUCAGGACGAGGUCCUCCUCCUAUUCCUGACAUGGCUGUGGAGGCACAUUAGGGUGCUGUAAGGCCUCUCCCCCCAUCCGAUCUAAAAGAACCAGGCCUUUGACCUUGUCCAUGUCAGGACGAGGUCUUCCUCCUGUUCCUGACAUGGCUGUGGGGGCACAUUAGGGUGCUGUAAGGCCUCUCCCCCCAUCCGAUCUCGAGAUAAUCGGACCUUCAUUUUAGGUAUGUUAGGAUGAGGUUCUCCUCCUGUUCCUAACAUAACUUUGUUUCAGGCGUUUGAAGGGGUUAUAUCCAGUCGUGACAAAUCCAUGCCAAAUGGGAAGAGUACGUCAAGUAGAAAGAAAUUUAGAUUCAAGGU
rnacentral:lncRNA from 1 species